UACGUAGGUGGCAAGCGUUAUCCGGAUUUAUUGGGCGUAAAGGGAACGCAGGCGGUCUUUUAAGUCAGCGGUCAAAUGUCGGGGCUCAACCCCGGCCUGCCGUUGAAACUGGCGGCCUCGAGUGGGCGAGAAGUAUGCGGAAUGCGUGGUGUAGCGGUGAAAUGCAUAGAUAUCACGCAGAACUCCGAUUGCGAAGGCAGCAUACCGGCGCCCGACUGACGCUGAGGCACGAAAGCGUGGGUAUCGAACAGG
rnacentral:rRNA from 1 species